rnacentral:rRNA from 1 species
AUUGAACGCUGGCGGCAUGCCUUACACAUGCAAGUCGAACGGCAGCACGGGAGCAAUCCUGGUGGCGAGUGGCGAACGGGUGAGUAAUAUAUCGGAACGUGCCCAGUCGUGGGGAUAACGUAGCGAAAGCUACGCUAAUACCGCAUACGAUCUAUGGAUGAAAGCGGGGGAUCGCAAGACCUCGCGCGAUUGGAGCGGCCGAUAUCAGAUUAGGUAGUUGGUGAGGUAAAGGCUCACCAAGCCGACGAUCUGUAGCUGGUCUGAGAGGACGACCAGCCACACUGGGACUGAGACACGGCCCAGACUCCUACGGGAGGCAGCAGUGGGGAAUUUUGGACAAUGGGCGCAAGCCUGAUCCAGCAAUGCCGCGUGCAGGAUGAAGGGCCUCGGUUGUAACGUAG